rnacentral:tRNA from 1 species
GAGCUCAUGAACUAUAGUCCACCAAGCUCCUCUGUCCAUGUAAUUCUCCAGGCAAGAAUACUGGAGUCAGUAACCAUUCCCUUCUCCAGGGGAUAUUCCUGACUCAGGGAUCGAAUCUGGGUCUCCCACAUUGCAGGCAGAUUCUUAACCGUCUGAGCCACCAGGAAAGCCCCAUGUAUAUGUAUUCAUAUGUAUAUAAUAGACUUCUGCCUCUGAAUCAUGGGCCACAUGGAGGACGGGAUAUUGCCACGGGAGGGGGUGGAUGGUAGUGAUCACACCAGCUUCAUUUUGGCUCACUGUGCAGAAGGCAUGGAGUUAAGUCUUGGCACACAUUUUCUUUUCUUUCUUUUUUUUUUAAGACUGUGCUGUGCAGCUUGCAGGAUUCUUAGUUCCCCAACCAGGGAUCAAACCCAUGCCCCACUGCUCUGGGAGUGUAGAGGCUCAACCACUGGACCGCCCAGGAAGUCCCCACAUUUUCGUAUUUAAUGCCCCCCACACCUGAACACUUAGGAGGCAGAAUUCUCCUAAGAAUUCCGUCACCCUGCACUAGGUUGGAAGCUCUGGGCACAGAGGAGUUUCCUGGACAGUUCAGUGCUGAGUCUUGAACAGACCCCGGCAUGUCGUGGAUGCCUGGCACAUGCCUGGAGGAAUGAAUUACACUGCAUAAGUAUGUGUCAAAUCAAGCCGUGUUUCCAGCCCCAAGUGCACACAGCCAGGAAGAGAAGGAAGGCGAGCAUGGCGUCUGGAUCCGUUUACGCUCACCGUGGAGCCUGCUCCCUUCUUCCCACAUGGGACAGCUCUUGUGCACUGAACUUUCAUCACGAUUCUGGGUGCUGUGGAGAGAGCUGUGAACAAGAGGCAAAGCACCCAGCUCCCUCAUCGAGUGGGUCAGAUGGAAAGUCAACAGGAUGCUGGAGAGAGGAUGCACCUGAUGGGUACGUGCUGCUCCAGCUGACGGCAGUGUGA